rnacentral:tRNA from 1 species
GCCCAUGUAGCUCAGUUGGCAGAGCACGUCCUUGGUAAGGACGAGGUCACGCGUUCGAUCCGCGUCGUGGGCUCCA